AGGACGAACGCUGGCGGCGUGCCUAACACAUGCAAGUCGAACGAGGUCCAUCCGGUAGCAAUACUGGUGAAGAUCAAGUGGCGAACGGGUGAGUAGUACGUGAGCAACCUGCCCCGAAGACCGGGACAACACCGGGAAACCGGUGCUAAUACCGGAUAUCCCCACCGAGUCGCAUGACUUGGUGAGGAAAUGGAUUCCGCUUUGGGAGGGGCUCGCGGCCUAUCAGCUUGUUGGUGAGGUAACGGCUCACCAAGGCUUCGACGGGUAGCUGGUCUGAGAGGACGAUCAGCCACACUGGGACUGAGACACGGCCCAGACUCCUACGGGAGGCAGCAGUGGGGAAUCUUGCACAAUGGGCGAAAGCCUGAUGCAGCAACGCCGCGUGAGGGACGAAGGCUUUCUGAGUUGUAAACCUCUUUCAGCAGGGACGAUUGUGACGGUACCUGGCAGAAGAAGCCCCGGCAACUACGUGCCAGCAGCCGCGGUAA
rnacentral:rRNA from 1 species